AUUGAACGCUGGCGGCAUGCUUUACACAUGCAAGUCGAACGGCAGCACGGCCUUCGGUCUGGUGGCGAGUGGCGAACGGGUGAGUAAUACAUCGGAACGUGCCCAGUUGUGGGGGAUAACGAAGCGAAAGCUUUGCUACUACCGCAUACGAUCUCAGGAUGAAAGCAGGGGACCGCAAGGCCUUGCGCUCACGGAGCGGCCGAUGGCAGAUUAGGUAGUUGGUGGGAUAAAAGCUUACCAAGCCGACGAUUUGUAGCUGGUCUGAGAGGACGACAAGCCACACUGGGACUGAGACAAGGCCCAGACUCCUACGGGAGGCAGCAGUGGGGAAUUUUGGACAAUGGGCGCAAGCCUGAUCCAGCCAUGCCGCGUGCAGGAUGAAGGCCUUCGGGUUGUAAACUGCUUUUGUACGGAACGAAAAGACUCCUUCUAAUAAAGGGGGUCCAUGACGGUACCGUAAGAAUAAGCACCGGCUAACUACGUGCCAGCCGCCGCCGUAAGAC
rnacentral:rRNA from 1 species